rnacentral:rRNA from 1 species
UCGCAUCUGUGCAUGCAGCAUAUCAAUAAGCGGAGGAAAAGAAACUAACAAGGAUUCCCCUAGUAACAGCGAGUGAAGCGGGAAGAGCUCAAAUUUGAAAUCUUAAAGGGUUUCCCUUUACGAAUUGUAGUUUAAAGAAGUGUUUUCUGUUGAGGUUUUGGUAAAAGUUCUUUGGAAUAGGACAUCAUAGAGGGUGAGAAUCCCGUAUUUGACCUUUACUUUCAACUUUGUGAUACACUUUCAAAGAGUCGGAUUGUUUGGGAAUGCAGUCCAAAAUGGGUGGUAAAUUUCAUCUAAAGCUAAAUAUUGGCGAGAGACCGAUAGCGAACAAGUACCGUGAGGGAAAGAUGAAAAGAACUUUGAAAAGAGAGUUAAACAGUACGUGAAAUUGUCAAAAGGGAAGCGUUUGACACCAGUGUUGUUUUUCUGAAAAUCAAUUAAAGAACUGUUUAUGCUAAGCUGUUUAGACUUUAUCAGCUAACUGUUAGUUUUGAGCUUUUCUUUAAUGCACUUUUCAGUUAACAAGUCAACAUCAAUUUCUUUUGCUGUAAAAAAGCUUGAGGAAGGUGGCUUGAGAUUCGUCUUAAGUGUUUAUAGCCUCUUGCCUAUGCAGUCGGAGAGAUUGAGGUCUGCAGCGUAGAUCCUUCGGGGCUAAAUGCAUUUGUGCUAAGUUAUAGCAUUUUAUAGACAACUUGUUGACUAUGAUUUGUCUUGUAGCUUACUCGCUUAUGUUAUUUUACCUACGCUUAGGAUGUUGAGUCAUCACACAUCUCU